CUGCUUCCGGAGGGACUGUCCACAGCGGCGGAGAUGGCGACGACGGCGGCGUCGGCUGCGACCUCCAGCACUGGAGAACCCCGGGAGGCGGCCGAAGCGCUAGGCCCCGGCUGGGAUGAGUCCCAGCUGCGCAGUUAUACCUUCCAGACGCGCCCCAUCCCACGUCUGAGCCAGAGCGAUCCCCGGGCGGAGGAGCUCAUCGAGAAUGAGGAGCCUGUGGUGCUAACCGACACAAAUCUUGUGUAUCCUGCCCUGAAAUGGGACCUUGAAUAUCUUCAAGAGAAUAUUGGCAAUGGAGACUUCUCUGUGUACAGUGCCAGCACUCACAAGUUCUUGUACUAUGAUGAGAAAAAAAUGGCAAAUUUCCAGAACUUUAAGCCGAGGUCCAACAGAGAGGAAAUGAAAUUUCACGAGUUUGUCGAGAAACUGCAGGAUAUACAGCAGCGAGGAGGGGAAGACAGGUUGUAUCUACAGCAAACUCUCAAUGACACCGUGGGCAGGAAAAUUGUCAUGGACUUUUUGGGUUUUAACUGGAACUGGAUUAAUAAGCAACAGGGAAAGCGCGGCUGGGGACAGCUAACCUCUAACCUGCUGCUCAUUGGCAUGGAAGGAAAUGUGACACCUGCUCACUAUGAUGAACAACAGAACUUCUUUGCUCAGAUAAAAGGCCAUAAGCGAUGCAUCUUAUUCCCACCAGAUCAGUUUGAGUGCCUCUAUCCAUACCCUGUCCAUCACCCAUGUGACAGACAGAGCCAGGUGGACUUUGACAAUCCUGACUACGAGAGAUUUCCCAAUUUCCAAAAUGUGGUUGGUUAUGAAACAGUGGUUGGCCCUGGUGAUGUUCUUUACAUCCCAAUGUACUGGUGGCAUCAUAUAGAGUCAUUACUGAAUGGGGGGAUUACCAUCACUGUGAAUUUCUGGUAUAAGGGGGCUCCCACUCCUAAGAGAAUUGAAUAUCCUCUCAAAGCUCAUCAGAAAGUGGCCAUAAUGAGGAACAUUGAGAAGAUGCUUGGAGAGGCCUUGGGGAACCCACAGGAGGCCUUCUGGAUGGCAACCAACCCGGCCAGGUGAGAAGCUCCACGGUUGGGACCCAGGCUCCUCGAGGCUCAUGGAAGACUCCCCACUAGACUCUCUUGCCUGCUGGGUUCCACACUCUCCAAGCAGGCCUGAUGUGUCCACUCAGCCUUCCCACACCUACCUGGAUAUCCAACUCUGCCUCCUGCCCCUGCCCUGCCUCCUCCACCUUCCUCCUCUUUGUCAUGACCAAGUUUUGUGGGGCAGGAAUCAUAUCCUACUCACCUUUAACAUCCGCAGACUAGCACAGAAACAAGCACAUAAGAUUCCAAGAUUCUUGAAGACCCUCAAGAUUCUUCAGGGAGCAGCCAUCAGGACUGAAGGGCUCACCUGCCCUGUCUUAAAGAAAAUAAGACCAAAUGCUUAGGGAAGGUGCUCUCCAGCUUUUGGAAUGAAAACCUACAGAAAGGAGAGAGUGGAGUUAGGGUUAGUGGCCCCUAGUUGCAUCUGCCCCAGUUGGCGCCAAGAGCUCAACUUCUGUGCCCCACAGCCUCUGUGACACGGCCCUGCAGCCCACACCCUCAGGCAUCAGGGUGAGUCCCGUGGAAGGGCACCUAGUAGAGCAUUCCGGUAGCUGCCAGGGGAAGCUGUUCGAGGCAGACACAGUGAGGAGCAGGGCAAGAGGGCAGAGGGAGCGGCCCCUGAGGCACAGAGGCUGCCGGAGGGGUGGGCCAGCCUGGGAGCAACUGGGCAGCGUGGGUUUGGGUUUUUAAUGGAUGGGACAAGGAUUCCACAGAGGGUCUCAGGACAAUGUAGGGCACGGCUGAAGCUGUAUUUCAGGGCACUCCUGGUGCUGCCGUUUACUUUCUAGCUGUGGUGCGGGCACUUUGCUCAGUGUCUCUGUGCCCCCAUCCCUUGGUGAGGUGGGAACACCACAGUGCUGCAAAGAAGUGUGAAGUGGGGCCGUGGAGGUCGCAGGGUGGCAGCCCUGGUGAAGACUUCGACCACUGCAACCAGUUGUAGCAGGGGAUGCAACAGGGCCAGCUACAGAGGAAGUCGGCUGAAGAGAGGUAGAGCUCACAGGCCACAGCCCCACCUGAGGAGAGAGGCUACGCAGCAGGUUCUGCCAGACAUGUCUAACACGACGUCCACCCAACUUGGCAAUGGCUCCGAGAAACAACUUACCUCUCCACAAGUAACUUCCAUGUUCUUCUUCUAGUUCCAGAAAUAAACCUCCUGCUCCCUUUUCACGCGUGUGCCAAGCCUUCUCCAAGACUCGACAACCAGCCAAGCCUUCACACCCAGUGCAACUCUGUAAAAGCUGUGCCCACCUGCCCCUAUAUUGAGGGAUUCUUGCACUCUUCUGCAGCCCUCCCGUUCCCACAAUAAAGGCUCUUUAUCUGUCUCUCUCCCUUUGUCUCUCAACCAUGCCAAAAACCUAACAGUUUGAGCUCUUAUGUUGGGCCACUGAUCCUUUUCAAGUUAAUUUUCAUAUAAAAGGUAUCAGGACAUGUGUAAAGAUCAUAUUGCCUCAUUAGUGUGAGAAGCUGAAAGAAACAACAUAUGUAUUUGCAUAUGUAUAUGUAUAUAAAAAAUAAGAUAAAAAUAACUAAAUUGAAAAAAUAAGAUGUCAGGGCAGGGCAGGGUUAAUGUUCUUUUUGGGACAUCCAGUGACUAUCCAGUGGUUUCCACAUCGGUUGCUGAAAAGAUCAGCCUCCCCGUGAUUUUGCCUGACCCUUUUAUCAAAAGUCAGCUGACCAUGUAUACCAGGUCUAUUUUUGGACUCUCGAUUCUGUUCCAUUGAUUUGUCUGUCUGUACACCAGUAUCCCAUUGCAGUACCAUAUCUUGAAGUCUUACUUAGGUACUGUAAGCCUUUCAAUCACCUUCUACGUUUGUUGUUUGACUAUUCUAGGACUUAAGCAUUUCCAUAUGCAUUUUAGAACUCAUGUGUCAAGUUCUUUUCUUUUUUUUUUGGUACUGUGGAUUGAACUCACGGUCUCAUGCUUGCCAGGCAGGCACUUGUGCCACUGAGCUACAUCCCUGUCCCCUCUGUGUCAAAUUCUGUGAAUAACAAGCCUGCUGAAAUUUUGCGAUUGCAUUGAAGUCACUGAAUCUAUACAUGAACUUGAGGAUUAUUGACAUCUUAAUAAAACUGGGUCUUCCAAUGGA